rnacentral:rRNA from 1 species
UACGGAGGGUGCGAGCGUUUGUCCGGAAUCACUGGGCGUAAAGGGCGCGUAGGUGGCGCGGGAAGUCAACGGUGAAAGUUCGGGGCUCAACCCUGAAUCGGCCGUCGAUACUCCCGGGCUCGAGCACUGUAGAGGCAGAUGGAAUUCCGGGUGUAGCGGUGGAAUGCGUAGAGAUCCGGAAGAACACCGGUGGCGAAGGCGGGCUGCUGGGCAGUUGCUGACACUGAGGCGCGACAGCGUGGGGGAGCAAACAGG